rnacentral:rRNA from 1 species
AUUGAACGCUGGCGGCAGGCCUAACACAUGCAAGUCGAGCGGAGAGAAGUAGCUUGCUACUGAUCUUAGCGGCGGGCGGGUGAGUAAUGCUUAGGAAUCUGCCUAUUAGUGGGGGACAACAUUUCGAAAGGAAUGCUAAUACCGCAUACGUCCUACGGGAGAAAGCAGGGGAUCUUCGGACCUUGCGCUAAAUGAUGAGCCUAAGUCGGAUUAGCUAGUUGGUGGGGUAAAGGCCUACCAAGGCGACGAUCUGUAGCGGGUCUGAGAGGAUGAUCCGCCACACUGGGACUGAGACACGGCCCAGACUCCUACGGGAGGCAGCAGUGGGGAAUAUUGGACAAUGGGCGGAAGCCUGAUCCAGCCAUGCCGCGUGUGUGAAGAAGGCCUUAUGGUUGUAAAGCACUUUAAGCGAGGAGGAGGCUACCUAGAUUAAUACUCUAGGAUAGUGGACGUUACUCGCAGAAUAAGCACCGGCUAACUCUGUGCCAGCAGCCGCAGUAAAAC